CGGACAGAUGGGAGCUUGCUCCCUGAUGUUAGCGGCGGACGGGUGAGUAACACGUGGGUAACCUGCCUGUAAGACUGGGAUAACUCCGGGAAACCGGGGCUAAUACCGGAUGGUUGUCUGAACCGCAUGGUUCAGACAUAAAAGGUGGCUUCGGCUACCACUUACAGAUGGACCCGCGGCGCAUUAGCUAGUUGGUGAGGUAACGGCUCACCAAGGCGACGAUGCGUAGCCGACCUGAGAGGGUGAUCGGCCACACUGGGACUGAGACACGGCCCAGACUCCUACGGGAGGCAGCAGUAGGGAAUCUUCCGCAAUGGACGAAAGUCUGACGGAGCAACGCCGCGUGAGUGAUGAAGGUUUUCGGAUCGUAAAGCUCUGUUGUUAGGGAAGAACAAGUGCCGUUCAAAUAGGGCGGCACCUUGACGGUACCUAACCAGAAAGCCACGGCUAACUACGUGCCAGCAGCCGCGGUAAUACGUAGGUGGCAAGCGUUGUCCGGAAUUAUUGGGCGUAAAGGGCUCGCAGGCGGUUUCUUAAGUCUGAUGUGAAAGCCCCCGGCUCAACCGGGGAGGGUCAUUGGAAACUGGGGAACUUGAGUGCAGAAGAGGAGAGUGGAAUUCCACGUGUAGCGGUGAAAUGCGUAGAGAUGUGGAGGAACACCAGUGGCGAAGGCGACUCUCUGGUCUGUAACUGACGCUGAGGAGCGAAAGCGUGGGGAGCGAACAGGAUUAGAUACCCUGGUAGUCCACGCCGUAAACGAUGAGUGCUAAGGGUUAGGGGGUUUCCGCCCCUUAGUGCUGCAGCUAACGCAUUAAGCACUCCGCCUGGGGGAGUACGGUCGCCAGACUGAAACUCAAGGGAAAUUGACGGGGGC
rnacentral:rRNA from 1 species